GGAAGCGUGUCCGAGUGGUUUAAGGAACCGGUCUUGAAAACCGGCGAGCGGGCAACCGUUCCGUGGGUUCGAAUCCCACCGCUUCCGCCA
rnacentral:tRNA from 3 species